CAGCCGCCGCGGGAAUACGUAGGGUGCGAGCGUUAAUCGGAAUUACUGGGCGUAAAGCGUGCGCAGGCGGUUAUAUAAGACAGAUGUGAAAUCCCCGGGCUCAACCUGGGACCUGCAUUUGUGACUGUAUAGCUAGAGUACGGUAGAGGGGGAUGGAAUUCCGCGUGUAGCAGUGAAAUGCGUAGAUAUGCGGAGGAACACCGAUGGCGAAGGCAAUCCCCUGGACCUGUACUGACGCUCAUGCACGAAAGCGUGGGGAGCAAACAGGAUUAGAGACCCCUGUAGUCCCUGUCUCUUAUAA
rnacentral:rRNA from 1 species